CCUACGGGUGACAGCAGUCGAGAAUCAUUCACAAUGGGGGAAACCCUGAUGGUGCGACGCCGCGUGGGGAAUGAAGGUCUUCGGAUUGUAAACCCCUGGCAUGUGGGAGCAAAUUAAAAAGAUAGUACCACAAGAGGAAAAGACGGCUAACUCUGUGCCAGCAGCCGCGGGAAUACAGAGGUCUCAAGCGUUGUUCGGAAUCACUGGGCGUAAAGCGUGCGUAGGCUGUUUCGUAAGUCGUGUGUGAAAGGCGCGGGCUCAACCCGCGGACGGCACAUGAUACUGCGAGACUAGAGUAAUGGAGGGGGAACCGGAAUUCUCGGUGUAGCAGUGAAAUGCGUAGAUAUCGAGAGGAACACUCGUGGCGAAGGCGGGUUCCUGGACAUUAACUGACACUGAGGCACGAAGGCCAGGGGAGCGAAAGGGAUUAGAUACCCGUGUAGUC
rnacentral:rRNA from 1 species